AUUGAACGCUGGCGGCAUGCCCUACACAUGCAAGUCGAACGGCAGCACGGGUGCUUGCACCUGGUGGCGAGUGGCGAACGGGUGAGUAAUACAUCGGAACAUGUCCUGUAGUGGGGGAUAGCCCGGCGAAAGCCGGAUUAAUACCGCAUACGAUCUACGGAUGAAAGCGGGGGACCUUCGGGCCUCGCGCUAUAGGGUUGGCCGGUGGCUGAUUAGCUAGUUGGUGGGGUAAAGGCCUACCAAGGCGACGAUCAGUAGCUGGUCUGAGAGGACGACCAGCCACACUGGGACUGAGACACGGCCCAGACUCCUACGGGAGGCAGCAGUGGGGAAUUUUGGACAAUGGGCGAAAGCCUGAUCCAGCAAGGCCGCGUGUGUGAAGAAGGCCUUCGGGUUGUAAAGCACUUUUGUCCGGAAAGAAAUCCUUGGCCCUAAUACGGUCGGGGGAUGACGGUACCGGAAGAAUAAGCACCGGCUAACUACGUG
rnacentral:rRNA from 1 species